AUGCUACUGUAUGUUGAUGUGUUGAACAUGAAUUAAGUUAAGCUAAAGCAUGCUAAUGUGUAUUAAGAUGAUGUAUUUGAGUUCCUAUAGCUUUUAUUUGAGGAAAAUAUGAGUGAUAUGUCAAUAAGCAUUGCUGUCAGUUUUUGGGUUGGACAGAAUAGUAUGUUUCGGGGUACGUUUGAUGAUGUUUUCGUAGUCCAAAUAACUUGAAAUUUUUACUGUAAUAACUUCAUCAUGUGUAGUCGUUCUCUGCAAAAUUUUAGCUAAAUCCGAGACCAUUAGAUAUGCUAAAUUAUUUUCUGAAAUGUACUGCACGAAGCAGCGAAGUUCAGUGGCAGAUUCUGCCUUUUGUGAUAUAAUUUCUCAUACACUUGAUGUAUUGUAUUUUUGUAACUUUCUAAUAAAAAUAGACUUUGAGUGAUUUCUAAAAAUGUAAAGCUUGUAUUUUUCUUUAAAGAGGUUGAUUUUAUAUGAUAUUUCAAAGUUGAGAUUCAUAUAUGAUUACAUAUUUGAGAUUUCUUACUUGAGCAAGUUAUUAAUAGAACUAUGCUAAGUGAUUGAUGUUUAGUUAUUAAUUGUAAGCUAAUCUAUAUAGAAUGGAUUAGUUUACUCUUAAGCUUUUCUCAAUUUGAGAUAUCCCAAGAGAUGUGAUGUUACUAUUUGCUUUUAGUUAAAUCCAUAUAAGUAGAAUACUCAGAUUAGAGGAUGCAACUUUCAAGUGAUAGAGUUUCAUUCAAGAUUUACUUUCUAUUUACUUACUUAUUAUCCAAUCUUACCUAGGAACCUCAUUAUAAUGAAGGUUCGAGUGGCAGUGUAGAAUGAACAAGCAAAGACUUCUAUUUUCAUUAAGCGUAUCAGGUUAAGCUGUGAUGCAGAUGGUAGCAAGCAGAGCAAAGUCUUUGAUGUAUAUGUAUUAAACCAGGCUCAGGAUUCCAUGUCUUCAUACAUGUAAUCCACAUGAAUUAUUCCGCUGCAACACUUAGUCUAUUCUACUUUAUUGAUGUGUUGUACAUAUUUUAAAUCAAUAGCGUUGAGAAUUAUGUCACUUGAAAGUUAGACAACUUGUCGUUGUGUAUUGUAAGUUGUCUACUCAUGAGUUUUAAAAUUGAUUGCUAAUGAUUAUCCAAUAUUAAAGUAAUUCAUCGUUAAA